GGAUGUCUAUUUCAGUGGUAGAGCAAGCCUAGCAUGUAUGUGGCCCUGGGUUCGAUACCCAGCAUUCA
rnacentral:tRNA from 1 species